ensembl:lncRNA
UUUUUUUUUUUUUUUUUUUUUUUUUCAGAUGGAGUUUCACUCUUGUUGCCCAGGCUGGAGUGCAAUGGUGCAGUCUCAGCUCACGGCAUGCAAACUCCGCCUCCCAGGUUCAAGUGAUUCUCCUACCUCAGCCUCCCAAAUCGCUGGAACUACAAGUGCCCGCCACCACGCCUGGCUAAUUUUUUUGUAUUUUUAGUAGAGACGGGGUUUCACCAUGUUGGCCAGGAUGGUCUUGAUCUCCUGACCUUGUGAUCCACCUGCCUCUGCCUCCCGAAGUGCUGGGAUUACAGGUGUGAGCCACCACGCCUGGUCCAACUUCAGCAGUUUUACAUUCCACAUAUAAGGAAGAAUGUGCAGUAUUUUUCUCCCUUUACCUGGCUUAUUUCACUUAGUAUAAUGUCUUCUAAGUUCAUCCACAUUAUUGCAAAGGUCAGGAUGUCUUUCUUUGUUAGGUUUGAAUAGUAUUCCAUGUCAUCUAUGUCUACCGCGUUUUCUUGAUCCACUCAUCAGUGGAUGAACACGUGGGCUCUUUUCAUGUGUUGGCUGUUGUGAAUAAUGGUGCAAUCAACAUGGGAGUGCAGAUAUCUCUUUCACAUUCUGACUUCAUUUCCUUUGGAUAUAUACCAGAAGGAGGAUUGCUGAAUCAUAUGGUAGUUCUGGUUUUAAUUUUUUGAGGAAAAUCCAUAAAUAUUUUCCAUAGUAGCUAUACCAAUUUACAUUCUCACUAGCAGAGUCCAAGGGUUCCAUUUUUACCAUAUCAUCAUCAACACUUAUCUGAUGUCUUUUUGAUCACAGCCAUUCUAUCAGGGAAAAUCAGGCAGGAUCUGGAAGUGGGGCAAGGGCUCAGGCGAGCACACACCUGCUCCCAGCUCAGCUGUAUCCUUUCCAGGCCGGCCUCUGUCAUCACAGGGUCCUGAGCUGAGGGCUGGGUGUUAGUGCAGCUCUCACAUAAAAAUCAUACAUUUUCCUAGGACAUUUUACUAGAUUUCAGGGAGAAAUUGAUUGCUUUUAUAUUAAAACAAAAGCUGAGAAUUGAGUCCAAGGCAAAACACAAAUGCUUCAUCAUUUUUAUGAGUUUACAAGGGGCACCAUCAGUGAUGAAGAGGCUUUUGCACCAUCAAUAUUCUGCUGGCCAAGCCUCUCUUGUCCCCUGCACAGCCCUUCAGGGAACCUGCUGCAGGUUCUUCUCCCUGUAAGAGCAGAAGCCCUGCAAUUCUUCUGGUAACCACCGGAGGGACACACAGCAAUUUGAGGAGCCAGGACUGAGCCUUGGGUCAGAGCUGAAACACCUGUGUGUGAGUUUCUCUGGCGCUCCUUGCCCUGAGCUGGCUCUUGCCUCAGUCACACCUGUGUUUCCGGGGAGACAAGCCCUGGAGUGUAAAAUCACAUCCAGGUGUCUAGGUGCAAGAGAGCAAAAGGGUUCAUUAAGAUGCCAUCUCUAAUCCAUUGCAGAGCAACUUGGAAGGUCAUGAGUCCUCCCAAGGGCUCUGGGGAGAGAGGUUGGAGGUGGCUUGGUGAUGCUGUGCGAUGAGCGUGAGGGAGGGCUCAGAUGCACCUGGGGCUGAGGUGUCCAGGGCUGCUGGACAGUGCGCUGGGCAGAGCUCUGGGAGCUGAGACUGCAUAGCCCGUGGAUUUGGCUGAGCAGUGGCCUCACACACAUGCUGGUUGUUGGAUGGUGAGCUUCAGGGUAGAAUGAGGGCCUGAGGGUCAAGGCAGAUGCAUUGUGUAGAUUCUAGAACACAGCAGGACAAUGCCAGUGAUGACAGCUAGCUGUGACGGAGACCCGUGAUAAGAAUGUCAAUUACAGUCACAAUCCAGCAGGAAUUGUGGCUGUCCUGGGCAGCACUGUUGCUUAUCUUUCAUGACCCUCAUGGGCAUUGAAAAUUUCCUAAAUUAUAUUUUCCCUUGGCACUUGCUGGACAAAACGUCCUCCAGAUCUUUCCAACACUGGGACACAAUCCCACUGAGAACACUGGGACACAAUCCCACUGAGAACAGGGGCGGCCAGCGAGGACGCUGCAGCGGAGGAUGAGGGCAGCCCCUUGUGCGGUGCAAUCCAACAUCUAUCCACGGUCCUUUGCUUCACCCCUAAAAGUGGAGUUUCAUGUUUUCUUCUCAACUGUAUGGAUGUGGAUUUGGGUAGAACAGUGGUGUUCCAAUUAUUUUCCUACAAGUGAGGAGAGCCCAAGGUUCAUCCUUGGCCUCACAGGUGGCCAGCACCCAGCCAAGGGCCCAGGCGGCAACAGCCCAAUCAGAGGUACUGGGACUCAGGGACCCAAAAGAGGGCCUGGGGCUGGGGCUGGCAGGCCGUGCAGCAGCCUCACGCCUGGGACCCCUUCCUGUCCAGAUUCUUGUUUUGCUCUCUGUGUCUCCCCUGUCUCACCCCCUGCAAAUCUCUGUUCUGCUGCUCUGAAUUCAGGGACCAUGGUGAGGCUCUGAAGCCUUUUCUGUGCAGGAAGGAGUUUGAGUGAGUGUGUAACAAUGGCAAUUUGAUUAAUGUAUGAUCAUCCGUCUGUAGCGGUCUGUUCUCUGCCAGGUGCUUCAGGCUGGGGGUGCCUCACUGU